rnacentral:rRNA from 1 species
GUAGGUGGCAAGCGUUGUCCGGAAUUAUUGGGCGUAAAGCGCGCGCAGGCGGGUCCUUUAAGUCUGAUGUGAAAGCCCACGGGCUCAACCGUGGAGGGUCAUUGGAAACUGGGGGACUUGAGUACAGAAGAGGAAAGCGGAAUUCCACGUGUAGCGGUGAAAUGCGUAGAGAUGUGGAGGAACACCAGUGGCGAAGGCGGCUUUCUGGUCUGUAACUGACGCUGAGGCGCGAAAGCGUGGGGAGCAAACAGGAUUAGAUACCCUGGUAGUCCACGCCGUAAACGAUGAGUGCUAAGCGUUAGAGGGUUUCCGCCCUUUAGUGCUGAAGUUAACGCAUUAAGCACUCCGCCUGGGGAGUACGGUCGCAAAGACUG